AUUGAACGCUGGCGGCAGGCCUAACACAUGCAAGUCGAGCGAGCGGCGGACGGGUGAGUAAUGUAUGGGGAUCUGCCCGAUGGAGGGGGAUAACUACUGGAAACGGUGGCUAAUACCGCAUACCAUCGGAUGAACCCAUAUGGGAUUAGCUAGUAGGUGGGGUAAAGGCUCACCUAGGCGACGAUCUCUAGCUGGUCUGAGAGGAUGAGCAGCCACACUGGGACGGAGACACGGCCCAGACUCCUACGGGAGGCAGCAGGGGGGAAUAUUGCACAAUGGGCGCAAGCCUGAUGCAGCCAUGCCGCGUGUAUGAAGAAGGCCUUAGGGUUGUAAAGUACUUUCAGCGAGGAGGCGUUACUCGCAGAAGAAGCACUGGCUAACUCCGUGCCAGCAGCCGCGGUAAUAC
rnacentral:rRNA from 1 species